rnacentral:misc_RNA from 1 species
UCGUAACAAGGUUUCUGUAGGUGAACCUGCAGAAGGAUCAUUAGUGAAAGUUUCGGGCCUGCCAUACGGACGCAAACACGUCUCUGGCGCCCAUCACUAUAUCCAUACCAACCCCUGUGCACUGUGAUGACGAAUGUCAUCGAACAAAAAAAACUCGUAUGGUUGAAUGUACGUGAAAUUGUAGGUAUAGCCUACGAACUAUACACAACUUUCGACAACGGAUCUCUUGGUUCUCCCAUCGAUGAAGAACGCAGCGAAACGCGAUAGGUAAUGUGAAUUGCAGAAUUCCGUGAAUCAUCGAAUCUUUGAACGCACCUUGCGCUCCAUGGUAUUCCGUGGAGCAUGCCUGUUUGAGUGCCGCGAAUUCUCCCUCCCCUUACGGUGGCCGAAAGGCCGAAGUAGGGCGGACGGGGUAGGAUGGGUGUUGCUGCCUGGGGAUUGUACCAGGCUCGCCCGAAAUGCAUAAGCGCCAGGACCCUCGCUACCGCUCUCUAGGGAAGAGUGGCUAAGCGACCGCUGAGCAUGGCAUGAUACGUCAUUUGCUGUGUGUGGGCGGCCGGUUGGAGAGGUGUCUGCUUUACCAGCCCUUUUUUAAUUCUGGUCUCAAAUCAGGUAGGAUCACCCGCUGAACCUAAGCAUAU